AUCGAGCUGCUACAACUAAUACUGUAAUAUUUUUCUUUCACAAUAAUAUAUUUGAAUCAUUUACUCAUAAUUCCAUUGAUUAAUGUAAAUGUAAUAUAAAAUAUUAAUUUUGUUCAUGUGUAGUUGCACUGGCUGAUGUGACACUAUUCUUAGUCUUUAUAUUGUCAUGCAACAUUUUCAGUUUCCAGUGUCACUGUAAUAACAUAUUCAUCUGCUCUAGUCAUUCGUGAUUCAUUUAUUUAUUAAGUGAAAGUAUCUGAUAAUAGAUAUGUUAUCAAGAAUAAGUCAAUAGUAUUCCGUUGUAUUUAGAUCAAAAGAGUAAAAGUCCAUUAUGGUCUUUUUAAUGUUGAAGUGUUGUCUUUUUUUUUCUACUCGUAUAAAUAUCAGGACUCAUAAUUGUGUAAAAUUAGACUUUUUUUAUUUCUUUCUGUGAAUCAUAAUUAUUGAGCUUCAUAUGAAUUUCAAAAGCAUCAUUAUUAGAAACUCCAUAGCAUCAUUCAUGAAAGAAAAGUUCAAAGGCCAUCAACUUAAUUUCCGUAAAAAGUGUUAUUGGCACACAAGGAAACAAUGAAUGAGAAAUAUUGGACAUAAAGUCAAACUGAAUCAGGACUACAGGGAAUAAGAAUAAACUCUUCAACUGAUAAUGAAAAGAAAGACAUUGUGAGCAGCUGAGGUGUUUGUGCUCUCUGUGUGUUGAAGUGUUGUUUCUCUCUCUCUGCUGGAGUUUGUGUUCACUCGAGUGGAAUAGAGGUUUUUGUACGAGUGUUUCAUUCGAUUGUAUCACUGUGGUGGACUUUCGGUGGAGGAACUAAACUGGUGCUCGCUGGUCCCACAGUGAAGCCCUCAGUGUCUCUGCUGCCGCCCUCUUCUCUGCAGAUCUCUGGAGACUCAGCCGCACUGCUCUGUCUGCUCAGCUCUUACUCUCCACAGGGGGCGCUGGUGAGCUGGACACUGGACGGCUCAGAGGUCACCGAGGGGGUUGUGACCAGCGCAGAGAGCGAGCAGGACGGCCGCUACAGCCGCAGUAGUGUCCUGACCCUCAGCAAAGCACGCUGGGAAGAGGGAGAGCUGUACGUCUGCAGAGUAACACAUGAUGGAGCUCCUCAUGAGGCCUCGUUCCACAAGAGUCGCUGUUAGUCGCUCGCAGUGCUGAUGUUUCUCCAGUGAGUGCUGCUCUCUCCUGAAGAUGAGUGUAUCUGAGUGUCCUGUGUCAGGCAGGAUUCACAUGAGUCUAGUGCUGCAGCUGUAGUCAUUUACAACUCAAUACUGAAAGAGAGCUCUAGUGUCAAAGCACUGGCUGAUCUUUCAAUCUGCUGUGUUUGCUGCAACAUUCAAUAAAGCUUCUCAACAAAC